rnacentral:rRNA from 1 species
AUUGAACGCUGGCGGCAGGCCUAACACAUGCAAGUCGAACGGUAACAGGAAGCAGCUUGCUGCUUUGCUGACGAGUGGCGGACGGGUGAGUAAUGUCUGGGAAACUGCCUGAUGGAGGGGGAUAACUACUGGAAACGGUAGCUAAUACCGCAUAACGUCGCAAGACCAAAGAGGGGGACCUUCGGGCCUCUUGCCAUCGGAUGUGCCCAGAUGGGAUAGCUAGUAGGUGGGGUAACGGCUCACCUAGGCGACGAUCCCUAGCUGGUCUGAGAGGAUGACCAGCCACACUGGAACUGAGACACGGUCCAGACUCCUACGGGAGGCAGCAGUGGGGAAUAUUGCACAAUGGGCGCAAGCCUGAUGCAGCCAUGCCGCGUGUAUGAAGAAGGCCUUCGGGUUGUAAAGUACUUUCAGCGGGGAGGAAGGGAGUAAAGUUAAUACCUUUGCUCAUUGACGUUACCCGCAGAAGAAGCACCGGCUAACUCCGUG